GCUCGUCUGGGCGAGGAUGAAUAGUAAUUAGGCCCAGAGCGUCUUGGUCGGUAUUACCGGCUGGGGGGGUAG
rnacentral:ribozyme from 1 species